rnacentral:sRNA from 1 species
ACCAGGCACAGUGAUGCACACUGUAAUCCCAGCUACCUGGGAGGAUGAGGCAGGAGGAUCAUCAGAGCCCAGGAGUUUGAGACUACCUCCUGGGCAACACAGUAAGAUCCUGUCUUGG